rnacentral:rRNA from 1 species
AUUGAACGCUGGCGGCAUGCUUUACACAUGCAAGUCGAACGGCAGCACGGGGGCAACCCUGGUGGCGAGUGGCGAACGGGUGAGUAAUAUAUCGGAACGUACCCGGAAAUGGGGGAUAACGUAGCGAAAGUUACGCUAAUACCGCAUAUGCCCUAAGGGGGAAAGCGGGGGAUUCGCAAGAACCUCGCGUUUUCGGAGCGGCCGAUAUCGGAUUAGCUAGUAGGUGAGGUAAAGGCUCACCUAGGCGACGAUCCGUAGCUGGUCUGAGAGGACGACCAGCCACACUGGAACUGAGACACGGUCCAGACUCCUACGGGAGGCAGCAGUGGGAAUUUUGGACAAUGGGCGCAAGCCUGAUCCAGCCAUGCCGCGUGAGUGAAGAAGGCCU